GCGCGGCGAUAGCAGGUCGAAUGCAUCAGUUCCCAGGUGAUCACUGAAGUUGAGCAACGUUGUGCGUGGUUGGUAACCGGAUGGGUGACCAUCGGGGCAAUCGCGCGCUGCUGGCU
rnacentral:rRNA from 1 species